UCGCCGUUUAGCUGCGGAGGAGAGAGAGGAAGGUUGCGAGGGAGCCGCCACGUCGAAGUUAGAUCUGUCGCCACCGUUGAGGGUGUCACCGUCGCUACUCGCCGCUCUGAGCUGCACCGCCGCGACUGUGAUCGCCAGAAACGGUGCUGUCGCCGUUAGAACUGCUUGAAGAUUGCCGCUGCUUCUUCUGACUCUGUUCAACCCGCUGCCAUCGCCGGGAAGACUCUGCCGUUGCCCGCCGGAGCUCCACGCCGCCGCCACUGCCACUGCCACCAGAAACCGCUACUAAGGCCUAAGUCAGUUUGUCACCACUACUGCAGAACCAUCAGAGCUUUCGGCUGUUAUUAGAGCUGCUGUCCAGUCAAUUUGGAAGCUGCUACUGUGUCGUUCUAUUCUGUUUAUCAUGAUAUGUGGUUGUUGUCGUGAUCCCUGCGGUUGCUUGGGAAUUUCUGCGGUUGCUGCCGAUUAACAUGAGAAUAAGGAUUUAAUGGGUUUAAUUAUGCAACUUGCGACUAAUCGAGGAACCGGAAGAAGAAGCAUUAAGGAGAGUUGUACUGCGUUUGGUUAUAUGCUGUUGUAUUAAUUAGAUUAUUUUUUUCCCUUGUCUUUGUUAUUACAAUUUUAUAAGAGGGAUAGGAGUUAUAUAUAUAUAUGUGUGUGUGUGUGUGCGCCUUAAGAUAAAGUAUUUAUUUCCGGUUUUCAAAGAAAUCAGCGAUACGGUGUUGUGUCACAGGCUCCUAUUUUAAUAUUAAGUAUAUAAAGUAGUCGUAAUACUUCUUACUAUCAGAGUGGCGCAGAUGGAAGCGUGACUUUCUGGUAGUGAGGGUGUUACAUUAUGGUAUUAGAGCGGUCUUUCCUGUAGAGCCUUGGGAAUGGAUUGAUUAUGCUUCAAUUGCACACUCUGAGAGUCUGUCAUGUAAUAGGUCUUGUUUGAAUAACGAGAAUUAGAGUUUUAUGCA